ensembl:lncRNA
UGGGUCUGUUUCUGUGUGUUACUGGGGAGCCCACACCUGGACACUGUGGUCUCACCAGAGCUGAGCAGAGGGGAAUGGAACGAUGACCUCGAGCUGCUGGCAGCGCUCCUCCUCACACAGCCCAGGGAUGAGCAAUGCUCAGUGACAGCCGAGGCAGAAGAGCUGUGCAGUGCCUCAGCUGCUCCCCACCAGCACUUUCCAUCCCCGUGCCGUCCCCAGGAUCCUUGGUCACUUCCAAUCCGCUUGCAGGACCUUGACAUCUCACAUACUGCUGGCAAGGUCUCAACGUCUUGUGUUCCGACAGGGGAAGACAUGGAUGCCUUGAGAAAUGCCAGCAGGACUCAAUGCAGGUUGUCUGUAGCAGUGAGAAAGCUGAAAGACAGUCACUGCCAGCAUACCAGGAGCAAUCUUCCAUCUCCA